rfam:Paenibacillus macerans strain 8244 genomic scaffold scaffold1, whole genome shotgun sequence.
AGCACCUUUAAUUCAGUCCCGUGAGGCUGGCAAGGUAACGUGAAUGGGGAAGCAGGCCGAACUGCGCUUAAUUUUCAUGAGCUCUGGCAUGCCCAAUCCCCCGUGACAGUCAUAGUUUAACUGUGGCUGGAGACUCCUUGCCUGGAUCAGGCAAGGAGUUUUUUUAU